rnacentral:lncRNA from 1 species
AUGGACCUCCCCAAAUGUAAGCUUGCUGUGCGUUAUAGGGAGAAAUGUGCAGGGUCCUGGAACUGCAGUGACAGCACAGCCUCUUCGUCAGGCCAACGGAGACAAGGGGACUUUGCAGAUCUUUCAGCCUGUAGCUGCUCGUCAGGAAGGAGGCAGCCGUCUUCUCUCCCAGAUACACUGUGGUUCCCGCGUGCACUCUGUUCCACAUUUAGAAGGAAGGCGGCCCCCGUGACGAUAAGAGCUCACGGGAGAAUGCCUGGAACCGCGCGAAGAACCUGCGGAACAGUCAGGCCUGAACCCAGGACCUUGCUCCGGGCCCCGCUCGCCGCCGCACCCGCCUCCGCCGUGGCCCUGGACUACCCUCGGGAGGCUUGUAUAUGUCCCUCACCUAAGGACUUUGGGGGCCCUGCCACAAGCCACUCCCGAAACAGGUAGGUUAGCUGUGCCCUGCGCUGGGGGGGGGGGGGCUCACAGUCCUGCGGAGUGGAAGGCAUGUGGUCUGCGCUGCGGGGGCUCAGCGCUGCCCUUGGGGGGACUCACAGCCCUGCGGUCGGAGGCUCAGUCCUACGCACAGGGGGCGCACAGCCCUAAGCUUCGGGGGGCUCACAGCCCUGAGCUGGGGCUGCUCAGCCCUGCCGAGCGGAAGGCUCCUCCCGGACUCAGGAGCCCACUCUGCAGUGAGGCAGGCCCAUUCGGCAGCAUCCACUGCGCUCCCACUGGGUGCUGGGCACUGUGCAGGGGCCGCGAGACCAUGGCGAGACCAUGGCAAUGCCCACUAGGGUAAGUGAAAUUUAGUGAAGGGAAACCCCAUUAAAAGGGAGCCGGCGGGUCGGCAGGGGGUGCUCUCCCGCCCUGCCACCACCUGUCCAUUGCAGACCCAGCAGGAAGAGGGACUUGGCCUUCCAUGGACUUGACCUUGCCGGUGGGUACCACUCUACUGCUACAGCCUGAGGAAGGGAGCUGGCCUCAUGACCUCCCCGCCCCCACACACAACGGCUCCCUCCACCGAUGGGAAGCCACCACACUUCCGGUCCCAGUUUACCCCACUGGACUUCUAAUUCAUAACAGCACUCCCAACCACCUACCCCUUCCUCCUUAAAAAAGCACGCCUCUCCUUUGUUCCCCACACUCACCUAUUGUUUUGCUGCCGCUCAUUUGUCCCAAACUGCAAUUCUUUUUUAUUCCCUAAUCCAUCUUUUGCUGGUAAAAUAAGGGGCAGGGUCUAACAUAACACACCUUAAACAGGUCUGUAAACAGGUGCUGUGAAGUCAGCUUCCCCCUGGGCCAGCCUUACCCUGCAGAGGUGGACUGCGGAGCGACGUUUCCAUGGCGCCCUGAGUUUUCCCAGAGCUAGCAAGGAGUAGCUCUGGGAAGCCAGGGUUCCUACAGCCUGGCAGUGAGGGGGUGGGGGUGUGGUGCUGACAGGAGAAGGCACACAAGGUCAUUUUGGCCUCACAGAGCACUUUGGUCUUAAGGGCCCUGGAAGCCUACGCUCAGGAGUGGUGAGGCCAGGUUCCACCCGGGCAGAAAAGCCUGAGGGGUGGGAGCCGGAGAGAGGCUCAGGCUCACACUUGGGCAGAAGCCCAUGACUUUGUAGGGGGGCCCGGCUGGCUCAGUCAGUGGAGCAUGAGACUCAUCAUCUCAAGGUUGAGAGUUUGAGCCCCAAAUCAUCUGACUUCAGUUUAGAAGGGGUGGGCUGAAGAUCAGGUCAGAUGCUGGCUCAUUCACCAACCUGGGUGUGUGGCCUCGGGCACGCGGCUGCACGUACCUGGGACACGGCGUCGCCAGGAUCUGUGGCCCAUGCCUGUAGCAUGCUUGCGUGCCGGAGCGCUCAAGGAGCGAGAACUGAACGGUCAUGAGGAACGGUGGCAGAGCGCGAUGUACCCAAGAACGGGACAGGGAAGGCCCGACCCCAGGCUUUGGGCGUGGACGGGAGAGACUGCACACCUGUGUGGCUGGGCAGGGAUGGUCAGCAGACCACCAAGGGCUCAGAAUACCACAGAGGAGUUUGCACUUCCUCCUGGGGCUGGCGGGGAGAGAAGCGGCGGACAGAUCUGUGUGAAGAAUAGACCCGUCGGUUGCUGUGGAGGACAGGUGAGGGGCAGGGCGCUGUGGAAGCCCCACUGCUGAGAGAGGACAGAUGUGGGCAAGGAGGAAGGACUGAGCGCAGCCCAGCAGGGCCACCGAGCGACCACAUGGGGCCUUGAGUGGCUCUGGCCCGUGGUGAGGACCUCAGGACAGGAGAGGGAAAGGGCAGGUCCCGGGGCACAUGGAGGCUUUUUGCCUCCACCUGUGAUGGAGUGCUGUCCGCCAGGCAGGCCCUGACCACACAGCCCCACCCAAAAGUCUCUGGAAGGUGGGCGUGGGGCCAGGGGUGGGGUCUCUGCUAUUGUCAGGUCAAAGGCUAUUGGGUAUCACACAUGUUCCUGGCCGGGGCCUCUCUUGACCUGGAUCGACAGAAAGCAGGGCCCAAGGCAAAGCCUCGCGCAGGACUUUGGGUGAUGGGCCCUGCAGGGAGUCUGUGAGAACAGGACAGCAGGUGGGAUGGAGGGCGCCCGGGGAAGACCCAUCUCUGCUCGGAGCUCUCCAGCCACACGGGACCCUCCCUCAAAAAGCCAAGGAGAUCACACCUGAGGACAGUCCAGGGGAGAAAGGAGAAGAGUGUAUCCACCGGCUCCCAUGGGUCAGCUACACUCCCCUUCCAGACACGGUCAGAGGUCACAGAGCUCUGGGCCCCGUCGGGGUUGGGGGCCUGUGUGAUUCCGUGGUCUCUUGCAGGUGAUGUGCCCACUUCAGGGGUGCAGAGUUACCUGAGGCAGAGCCCCG